rnacentral:rRNA from 1 species
GAUGAACGCUGGCGGCGUGCCUAAUACAUGCAAGUCGAGCGAACAGACGAGGAGCUUGCUCCUCUGACGUUAGCGGCGGACGGGUGAGUAACACGUGGAUAACCUACCUAUAAGACUGGGAUAACUUCGGGAAACCGGAGCUAAUACCGGAUAAUAUAUUGAACCGCAUGGUUCAAUAGUGAAAGACGGUUUUGCUGUCACUUAUAGAUGGAUCCGCGCCGCAUUAGCUAGUUGGUAAGGUAACGGCUUACCAAGGCAACGAUGCGUAGCCGAGCUGAGAGGGUGAUCGGCCACACUGGAACUGAGACACGGUCCAGACUCCUACGGGAGGCCGCAGUAGGGAAUCUUCCGCAAUGGGCGAAAGCCUGACGGAGCAACGCCGCGUGAGUGAUGAAGGUCUUCGGAUCGUAAAACUCUGUUAUUAGGGAAGAACAAAUGUGUAAGUAACUAUGCACGUCUUGACGGUACCUAAUCAGAAAGCCACGGCUAACUACGUG